CCGCUGGUGGUCUAGUUGGUUAUGGCUUUCGGCUGUAAUGGAAUAAUUGCCACCGAAAAGUCGCCGGUUCGAAUCCGGCCCGGCGGA